UGGUUCAGUUGGUAGAGCAUGGUGUUUGCAACGCCAGCAUGGUGUGUGCAACACCAGGGUUGUGGGUUCAAUUCCCAC
rnacentral:tRNA from 1 species